CCCGGCGGCGUGCUAAUACAUGCAAGUCGAGCGGACAGAUGGGAGCUUGCUCCCUGAUGUUAGCGGCGGACGGGUGAGUAACACGUGGGUAACCUGCCUGUAAGACUGGGAUAACUCCGGGAAACCGGGGCUAAUACCGGAUGGUUGUUUGAACCGCAUGGUUCAGACAUAAAAGGUGGCUUCGGCUACCACUUACAGAUGGACCCGCGGCGCAUUAGCUAGUUGGUGAGGUAACGGCUCACCAAGGCGACGAUGCGUAGCCGACCUGAGAGGGUGAUCGGCCACACUGGGACUGAGACACGGCCCAGACUCCUACGGGAGGCAGCAGUAGGGAAUCUUCCGCAAUGGACGAAAGUCUGACGGAGCAACGCCGCGUGAGUGAUGAAGGUUUUCGGAUCGUAAAGCUCUGUUGUUAGGGAAGAACAAGUGCCGUUCAAAUAGGGCGGCACCUUGACGGUACCUAACCAGAAAGCCACGGCUAACUACGUGCCAGCACCCGCGGUAAUACGUAGGUGGCAAGCGUUGUCCGGAAUUAUUGGGCGUAAAGGGCUCGGAGGCGGUUUCUUAAUUCUGAUGUGAAACCCCCCGGCUCAACCGGGGAGGGUCAUUGGAAACGGGGGAACUUGAGUGCAUAAGAGGAGAGUGGAAUUCCACGUGUAGCGGUGAAAUGCUUAGAGAUGUGAAGGAACGGUAUUGGCGAAGGCUACUCUCUGGUCUGUAACUGACGCUGAUGAGCGACAGACUGGAGAGUCACCUUGAUCACAUGGUGUGGUACUCCACUCCAUAAACUUUCAACGCUAAGUGUAAGGGCGUUUCCGCCCCUU
rnacentral:rRNA from 1 species